ensembl:lncRNA LINC01844 long intergenic non-protein coding RNA 1844
GGCAGAAUCUGGGCUCAGAGUCUAGCCCUGCAGGACCCAGUGUGGCAGCUGCGUGUCUCUGGAGCACUGGAGAGGGGGCUACUGCAAAUUAAGAUCUGCUGUAAAGAGCAUCUUCCUGGUUAUUCUCUGGGACGCAAAACCAUGGUGGUAUCUGAUCUCAUCACACUUCUGCCAGGAGGUGAAAUCGAAGAGGCUACAUUCUUGAUGCUCAGUGUCUUCUUCAGGUCAUUUGCCUGAGGACACCUGGGGAUACUGAGCUCUCUUCAUGUGACAAAGAAACUUCCUAAAAUACUAAAAGCUAAAGGAGAUUGUUAUCUAAGCUUGAGAUGGAAGGUUGCCAGCGGAAACUUGGAGGAUCACAGCCAGUCGCCUGGGAUUGACCACAGGGAGUGGCAGAGGCAGAAAGCAAAAGACCAGUUGCAAUUAUCCAGGUAAAAGAUGGAGGCUGUUGCAAUAAUCCAGAAUCCUGAAUUGAGCCUGUGUUCCCAGUUCCUAGAAACCCUCAAGGUUAUUGGUUUCCUCCUCGCUUAAUAGACCAGUGGAAGAAAUCUACCUCCAGUUCUAUCUUCACAUGAGCAACUGUUUACAGUUUACAAUAUUACUCUGAAAAUCAGUUCUUUUCAAGUUUUAUCUAACACCCACCAGAAGAAACAGAAGAUUAUGAAAAUGGAAUUUGUCAAAGUUCCUCUCCCAACAAUAUGAUAUUUAAUUUUGCUAACAUUUUUUUUUGAACACUUACUAUAUUGCAGACAAUGGUCUAAGUAAAGCAUUUUAUGUGCAUCCUAUCAUGUCAUCAUCACACAGCCCUGUGAGGUAGAUACUAUUAUUAUUAACCACAUUUCACAUUCAAAAAAACUGAGGCUUAGAGAGACUAAGUAAAUUGUCCAAGGUCACACAGCCAUGAAGUGGCAGAGCUGUGGUUAAAACCUAUGUCUGUCUGAUGUUUAAGAUUUUGCUGUUAGCAUUACUUUGAAAUGACAAUAUGAGGGCAUUUUAUGUAUUUUUUUUGCCCCAAUAUGAUCUGCAGAAACUAUGUAUUUUAAGUACUACAUUUCUUUUAUUUACCAAAUUAUUGUCAGAUAAGAAACCGAAAUAAAAGUUUACAGGGUCUAGGAUUCCUCCAUAAUGAAUGAACUUUGGGGUAUUUCAGUGACAAAUUGGCUUUAACGCGAUCAAAUUCCAUCCUACAAUGAAAGUGUGUUAGUUUGUGGUUUCAAGUUUAAAAACAGCACUGUAUUGUCUUCCAGAAAUAUAUAAAUAGAAAUUCAAGAAGUAUUUCAAUGAAUACAGAUAAAAUUAGUUUUGUUAGAACAUCAAAUAUGUGGGUUUCAUUUCUUAGCUCAGUUUAGAAACUGUAAUUUCAAUUUUUUUUAGCAGCUGUGGUAAAUUUUGAGAUUUGAAAUUUCAUAUAAUAUAAAUCCUCAUUUAUUGAGCAUUUAAAUUAUAUGCCCAACAAUUUACUGUGUACAUUACUUCACUUGUUCUUAACUAUAACUCUACAAAAUAUUAUUGUCCUUGAUUUAUAGAUGAAGAUAUUGAGACUCAGUUAAGUAACUUGCUUGAAAUUCAAAAACGUUAACUGUGGAAGGCAGUAUUUGAACCCAGUGUUCAAAACCCCAUGCUCUUUUUAUUAUAUGACCUUAUUUCCUAUUCAGUCUUCAGAAGAUAUAUUGUCUUAUUAGAUUAUUCUCGUUCUCUAAAUAAGUGACCUUGGGCAACUAUCUUUUUCCCUGGUAUUUUCCCCUGCCUUUAAAACAAUGUGAUCAAACUGGAAGUUUUUCACGAUCUCUCUUAGCCCUAAAGCUCCUUGGUUCUGUAAUUCCACCAAUAGCCCAUUUCAAAAAUAA